rnacentral:lncRNA from 1 species
UGUAAAUGACAUAAAUUUGAUAGUCUAAUAAUUUACAUAACAAUUGUGCUAUCAAGACACUAUGUUAGUUAAAUAAAAUAAUAAUAAUCAUACUAAUAAAGUAGUAUUAGAAACAAUAAGUUUGAUACAAAUUAGAAAAAUAUUGAAUUUAAAGUAAAUUCUUGAUAAUUUUACUUUAUAAGGGUAAAAUAAUAGUCAAUUUAAACUUAUGUCAAAACAAUCUUCAUAAUCAAAUAUACUAAAUGAAUAUAAGUCACAAAAAAGUAAAUUAACAUAGAUUUAAUUAAUUAAUUCUUCAAACCUCUUCUUGAUUUAAAAAUUUUAAAAAUAAUGUGUAACUUUUAUAAUUAUUUUUUAAAAAUGGAGUGAAUUCACAAAAAAUAUCGGGUACAGAUAUCAUCCGUCUAUAAAAAAUAAUCAUAACAAUUAUUUUUUGGGAUCAGGCUACGGUGCAACUGUGGUACUGUGCCACAAUUGUAUCCAGCCGUUGGAUGCACUUGGAUUGGUGAGGUCUACUGAUAUUCAACAGCUGGAUGCAACUAUAGCACAAUACCACAAUUACACCACAAGUUUCCCUAUUUUUUUUCAGUAUUUUAUCUCCUUAUCAUUUUUACGCUCUUUGCGGUCAAGUUUCACCGAUUGCCAUUGCCUCACUAUUUUGAUGAUAAUGACACAAGACCUCUUCAAGUCUUCAUAUACAUGUGGGUAGUUUGAAUAGAUGUAAGAUGUCUUUUUUUUCAGGACGUAAAUUUUGACAUGUGGCAGAUGCAUGAAUGAAAGAACAAUAUGGCUCUUUCAUACCCUUUUUCUGUUUGGUGGGCUCUCUCCUUUAGAUAUUGCUAAGCUGCUUAGCUUCUCCUUCGUGAUGCUAAUGGUUUCUGAUUUAUCACUUUCACUGGUUUAUUUGCUCUCUAUAGCUUUUCAAUCAACAAUUCUUACCUCAGAGCUUGCAGCUUUCUUUAUAUUUGAUGGGGUAAGGCGACCGUCAGCUGUGGCUGACACAUUGCACAUCCGUAGUUUUUAUUCCUCCGAUAGAUGCUAAACAAUAAUCAAUUUAUGCAGGACCUACGUACAAAGCGUCAGGUUUAUAGUUUCAUUCCCUUGUAUUUACAUUUCUUAAAGAAAUUAGUCUGAACCGAUUUGCUCUAUAAUUGUGUUGUAAGUAAGAUGACCCAAUGAUCAGUCAUAUUAAUUAAUACUAGUUACGAUACUUCAACUCCGCUCAUUGGUCGGAUAAAAAACAGCAAAAGAAAGAAACAGGACAAUGAGCAAUCAUAUUAAUUAGGGAAAGAAAUUAAAGCUCAAUUGUUGCCAAGUACUUCUUGUAGUUGAAUAUUUACCCUAUCAACACAUCUUCUCGUAGUUGUAAAGUUCUCUGGAAUUAUUUAUCAAUCUUCCAGGAAACCAGAUUAUUUACUGCAUAGAUAUAUAUAUAUAUAUAUAUGUUGCUUAAAGUCAAGUGAUGAAACGAAAACGUGAAGGUUGAAGAUUUUUGAAACAAAGUUUCAAAGUAAUAAAGUUUACUGAAUAAUUAUGAAUUGACAAAGUUAGGGUUUUGAUCCUUUUAUAUAAU